rnacentral:misc_RNA from 1 species
AACAAACAGUUGUCUUUGCAGCAACUCACUUUACUCUCUUUCAACUCCCAAGUUCCAUCCCAACCCUAACAGAAAAAAAAGAAUAAAAAUAUAGUCUCUCACCAAAAGAAGAAAUUUUGUGAACUUAUUUUUUCCAAGAACAAGAUAAAGAGGAGGAAGAAGCAUGGAUUCUUUGUUAUGUUACUGUAGAGAUGAAGGAUGAGAAAAGGGAAUUAGACCCACAUUGUUGUAAGUGUUUCCAAUGGGGAAAGGAGAGGAAGAACAGCCAAUACCUAGUACUGCAUUGGAUGCACAAAGUACAAACCAAAAUGCAGAGGAUAGGUGUUGUUGUAGGUUCAAAGGGUUGGUGAGUUUUAAAUGUGUAUUUGUAUUGAUUCUUGGCUUGGGAGUCUUGAUUUCUGCUGUUUUCUUGUUGCCAUUCUUCAAGAAUGGAGAUCUGGGCUAUUUGGAUCUUGACAACAAGUAUAAAGGUCAUGAUAUAGU